GACGAACGCUGGCGGCGUGCCUAAUACAUGCAAGUAGAACGCUGAAGAGAGGAGCUUGCUCUUCUUGGAUGAGUUGCGAACGGGUGAGUAACGCGUAGGUAACCUGCCUUGUAGCGGGGGAUAACUAUUGGAAACGAUAGCUAAUACCGCAUAACAAUGGAUGCCACAUGUCAUUUAUUUGCAAGGGGCAAUUGCUCCACUACAAGAUGGACCUGCGUUGUAUUAGCUAGUAGGUGAGGUAAUGGCUCACCUAGGCGACGAUACAUAGCCGACCUGAGAGGGUGAUCGGCCACACUGGGACUGAGACACGGCCCAGACUCCUACGGGAGGCAGCAGUAGGGAAUCUUCGGCAAUGGGGGCAACCCAGACCGAGCAACGCCGCGUGAGUGAAGAAGGUUUUCGGAUCAUAAAGCUCAGUUGUAAGUAAAGAACGGGUGUGAGAGUGGAAAGUUCACACUAUGACGGUAGCUUACCAGAAAGGGACGGCUAACUACGUG
rnacentral:rRNA from 1 species